rnacentral:misc_RNA from 1 species
GAUGAAGAACGCAGUGAAAUGCGAUAAGUAAUGUGAAUUGCAGAAUUCAGUGAAUCAUCGAAUCUUUGAACACACAUUGCGCCCCCUGGUAUUCCGGGGGGCAUGCCUGUCCGAGCGUCAUUACAACCCUCAAGCUCAGCUUGGUGUUGGGCCCCGCCGCCCCGGCGGGCCCUAAAGUCAGUGGCGGUGCCGUCCGGCUCCGAGCGUAGUAAUUCUUCUCGCUCUGGAGGUCCGGUCGUGUGCUCGCCAGCAACCCCCAAUUUUUUUCAGGUUGACCUCGGAUCAGGUAGGGAUACCCGCUGAACUUAAGCAUAUCAAUAAGCGGAGGA